UCUAGACACAAGGUUUGCGGAACACAUGACCUCUAUGAUCUCUCGCCAAAGCGGCUAUGGAGGCACGAGAGUCUUGCAUCAAUGUUCACUUGAAGUAAGGGGGGAGGAGUCCAUUUUGGAGGGUCGUCGUUCACAACUCGUGACUACGAGCAACGUUCCAUCGCAACUCAUGGUAGAUGUCCUGUAUAUGUCGAAUUACUGAAGGAAGAUCCAUUUGGGAACGAGCUUCCAGAAUUUUGUUUCGACGCUCCGAUAAACCCACUAAACUAUCUCGACCAUAUUGCGAAAAUCUUCGCAAUAAAUGUCAGGUGGAAGGCCGAAAGCGAGGAGGCGCAGAGAUCACAUAGCACACAUGUAAAAAACAGAACCGCAAAAGAAGUUGAUAUGUCCAAGCCCCAGCCACCUCGACUCCAUACAAUUCAGAUCUCAACAACCGAGAGCGGAUUCUUAUGAAGACUGUACUUCUGAUUAACUUGGAGGUCAAGGACAACCAUGAGGAGGCAGCAACUGGAGCUCAGCGUGCUUUAGAUCUUUGUCGAGAGAGGCAGAACAGGCGGAAAUUUUUAUUCAGCAUUUCCUUCUAUUGAUGA